rnacentral:rRNA from 1 species
UACGUAGGGGGCGAGCGUUGUCCGGAUUUAUUGGGCGUAAAGAGCGUGUAGGCGGCCAGGUAGGUCUGCUGUGAAAACUCGAGGCUCAACCUCGAGACGUCGGCGGAAACCAUCUGGCUAGAGUCCGGAAGAGGAAAGUGGAAUUCCUGGUGUAGCGGUGAAAUGCGCAGAUAUCAGGAAGAACACCCGUGGCGAAGGCGGCUUUCUGGGACGGUACUGACGCUGAGACGCGAAAGCGUGGGGAGCGAACAGG